AAAGGCUUAGGUUAGACUAGACCUAAGGCCUUCAAAGCCUUAAGCAGGUGAUCAACCACCUAGCCUUUA
rnacentral:tRNA from 1 species